rnacentral:rRNA from 1 species
UACGGGGGGGGUAAGCGUUGUUCGGAAUUACUGGGCGUAAAGGGCUCGUAGGCGGCCAACUAAGUCAGACGUGAAAUCCCUCAGCUUAACUGGGGAACUGCGUCUGAUACUGGAUGGCUUGGAUUCGGGAGAGGAAUGCGGAAUUCCAGGUGUAGCGGUGAAAUGCGUAGAUAUCAGGAGGAACACCGGUGGCGAAGGCGGUUCUCUGGGCCUGUACUGACGCUGAGGAACGAAAGCGUGGGGGAGCGAACAGG